UAAAAGAAAGAUGUGCAGAGGGGGCACCCCUCGCCGUCGAAGGAAGGUGCUCAGGCUGCUUGCAGCCGCCGAAGGGAAC
rnacentral:ncRNA from 1 species